rnacentral:hammerhead_ribozyme from 1 species
AUCCGGAUAACGAGUCCAAAACAGGACGAAAUACGCAUCCUGGAU